ensembl:lncRNA
AACACAUACCUCUAUCUCCAUUUACUAGCUAGAUGUUGUUUACUCCCCACACCAAGAAAAUAUGUAAUUUUUCAAUCAGAUAAAAUUAUGUCACACUGUAAAGAUUUCACCUUGUAACUAACUGUUCAAGUUGCCUGUUUUUACAUAGGAGUACCUUUUUCUUUUGUGCAGAACUGGUGUGUGGAGCUGUCUGAUGACAGUGAUUUUGAAAGCCCGGUUGUACAACGAAGGAGAGGUGAGUAAAAAAAUAAAUAAAUUAACACCCCUCAUUUGUAUAGAAAAUCCCAGUAAACAACUCUCGAACCUCUCGAGGUUAAUUGCUGAUCUGACUUGAUUUUUGUGAUGAAUUGGUGACUUAUUGCAUUAUUGAACUUAUUGAAACAAAACCGUUAUUAUUUGUGUGGAGUGAAAAUAGUAGGGUUGGGAAUAAUAAUCUAUUCUUCGAUGCAUCGCGAUUCUCUCUAGAAUGAUUCUGUCUCAAUGCAGAUAAAUUAAUAAUCUGAAUUACCUUUUUUAUUGGCCAAUCUGAUUUGUUUUGACACGAUUGCGAUUCAGCCUACACAUAGCAUGCACGCAAACUCACAGCCAGACACAAGAACUCCUUCUAAUUCAAGAGCAGCUUUUUCUUUGACAUAGAAAAUAAAACUGAACCCUAUUUUUUACAAACUUCCAUAUUGUGUUGUAAUGCAAGCUGCAUUGAUUAUUGCAUUG